rnacentral:rRNA from 1 species
AGCGUAACAGCUCACUGGUCUAGUGAUUCUGCGCAGAAAAUAUAACGGGGCUAAGAUAGACACCGAAGUUGUAGAUUCUACUUUUAGUAGAGUGGUAGAAGAGCGUUCGUAUCAGCGUUGAAGGUAUACCGGUAAGGAGUGCUGGAGCGAUGCGAAGUGAGCAUGCAGGAAUGAGUAGCGAUAAAAUAUGUGGGAAUCAUAUUCGCCGUAAAUCUAAGGUUUCCUACGCGAUGCUCGUCAUCGUAGGGUUAGUCGGGUCCUAAGACAAGUCAGAAAUGGGUAGUCGAUGGCAAAUAGGUUAAUAUUCCUAUACCAAUUAUUGUGUGCGAUGGAAGGACGCAUAGGGUUAAGCGAGCCAACGGAUGGAAGUGUUGGUCUAAGAGCGUAGAUUGGAGGAGUGGCAAAUCCGCCUCUGUAUUCGAAACUUGAAAGGCUCUUUGAAGUCUUCGGAUGGAUAGGAGAAUCGCUGAUACCGUCGUGCCAAGAAAAGUUUCUAAGUUUAGCAAUAAUUGCCCGUACCGCAAACCGACACAGGUAGAUGAGAUGAGUAUUCUAAGGCGCGUGAAAGAACUCUGGUUAAGGAACUCUGCAAACUAGCACCGUAAGUUCGCGAUAAGGUGUGCCUAAGCAAUUAGGUCUCAGCAAAGAGUCCCUCCCGACUGUUUACCAAAAACACAGCACUUUGCAAACUCGUAAGAGGAAGUAUAAGGUGUGACGCCUGCCCGGUGCUCGAAGGUUAAGAGGAUUAGUCAGCAGCAAUGCGAAGCUUUGAAUUGAAGCCCGAGUAAACGGCGGCCGUAACUAUAACGGUCCUAAGGUAGCGAAAUUCCUUGUCGGUUAAAUACCGACCUGCAUGAAUGGCGUAACGAGAUGGGAGCUGUCUCAACCAGGGAUUCAGUGAAAUUGUAGUGGAGGUGAAAAUUCCUCCUACCCGCGGCAAGACGGAAAGACCCCGUGGACCUUUACUACAGCUUGGCACUGCCGAUGGGAGCAUUAUGCGCAGGAUAGGUGGGAGGCUUUGAAAUCUUCACUCUGGUGGAGAUGGAGCCAUCGUUGAGAUACCACCCUUAAUGUUUCUGUCUGCUAACUAGCUUGAGUUAUCCUCAAGUAGGACAAUGCCUGGUGGGUAGUUUGACUGGGGCGGUCGCCUCCUAAAAAGUAACGGAGGCUUGCAAAGGUUGGCUCAUUGCGGUUGGAAAUCGCAAGUAGAGUGUAAUGGCAUAAGCCAGCCUGACUGUAAGACAAACAAGUCGAGCAGAGACGAAAGUCGGUCAUAGUGAUCCGGUGAUUCUGUGUGGAAGGGUCAUCGCUCAAAGGAUAAAAGGUACCCCGGGGAUAACAGGCUGAUCUCCCCCAAGAGCUCACAUCGACGGGGAGGUUUGGCACCUCGAUGUCGGCUCAUCGCAUCCUGGGGCUGGAGCAGGUCCCAAGGGUAUGGCUGUUCGCCAUUUAAAGCGGUACGCGAGCUGGGUUCAGAACGUCGUGAGACAGUUCGGUCCCUAUCUGCCGUGGGCGUAGGAAAGUUGAGGAGAGCUGUCCCUAGUACGAGAGGACCGGGAUGGACACGCCACUGGUGUAUCAGUUGUUCUGCCAAGAGCAUCGCUGAGUAGCUAAGCGUGGAUGUGAUAACCGCUGAAAGCAUCUAAGCGGGAAGCCAACUCCAAGAUGAACUUUCCCUGAAGGUCGCAGCAAGACUAGCUGCUUGAUAGGGUAGAUGUGUAAGCAUAGUAAUAUGUUUAGCUGACUACUACUAAUAGACCGUUUGGUUUUAAGGG